GAUGAAGAACGCAGCGAAAUGCGAUAAGUAAUGUGAAUUGCAGAAUUCAGUGAAUCAUCGAAUCUUUGAACGCACAUUGCGCCCGCCAGUAUUCUGGCGAGCAUGCCUGUUCGAGCGUCAUUUCAACCAUCAAGCCCCAGGCUUGUGUUGGAGCCCUGUGGCUGCCGCAGCCUCCCAAAACCAGUGGCGGGCUCGCUAUCACACCGAGUGCAGUAGUUUACUCUUCGCUCAGGGCGUGUGGCGGGUGCUAGCCGUGAAACCCCCAACUUCUCAAGGUUGACCUCGGAUCAGGUAGGAAUACCCGCUGAACUUAAGCAUAUCAAUAAGCGGAGGA
rnacentral:misc_RNA from 1 species